rnacentral:lncRNA from 1 species
UUUACUGAUUGCCGCAUCCAACAUCCAAAGUAUGAAAAACAUCACGUAGCUAGCGGUCAACAGCACGAUGACAAUUGUGAUUAAUCCCGUAAAAGCGUAAUUACAGAUUAUACUUUGUUGUUCAUUCUUUCAGCUCGAUCCGGUACAAAGCGGAAAGCGUUAUCAUCGUAUGUUUCUUGAUUGUUUUGUCUGUAGACUCUGCAUAAACUUUGAAUCUGUGUUGUAAUAGUUUAAGACUCGUAAAAAGCAACUGCGCCAAAUUGGCUUUCCUGAUAUUCUUUUGCGAGUGUAGAAAAAUAUUAUCAACGGCGUUUUGCUUCUGGUUUCUAAAUGAAGGCCGAUCAGGCGAUUAAAUUUGGUUUUUCCUUCUUUUUUUUUAUGCUUUUUGUUUGAUUUUUUUUUCCUUGCUGUUUGCAGAGUGCAGACGACUUUGUUGUGUUUGGCAGAUAUCAUACGAGACAGUUGACAGCAGCCAGGAGUGACGGAAGGAUAAUAAUCUCUGCUCUUGAUAAGGAGAUUGAAUUUUCAUUCACGACCGGAAAAUAUGUUGAAAUUUGAAAGUGGAUGUGGCCGACAGCUGACUCACGGGAGCACCGGUGGUUUCCUUUGAUUGAUCAAGAUAUUAGGAUCGUCGCAGGAUUGUGUGGUCGGUAAUAUCCAACCGACUUCAAGGUCUCUCAAGAAAAAGGUUAUUAUAAGGUCGGCAAUUCGAUUGGAAAGUUUCAAGAUUGAUAAUCGAAAUUCAAAUCUGCCUAUCGUUCGCAUGGUGACAUUGAAAAUGUGAACACCAGAUGGAGGUCCCUGUGUGUACAGCACUUAUAUUUAGCUAAUUGGCUGAGUUGCUGAGAUAUUAAUAUUAUGAUGGAACUCACGUCGGUCUGCAUGUCCAUGGCCAAUUCAAAACUCAGCAUGUAAUGUUUUACAAAAGUAUUUCUUUUGUUUCUCAAAAAUCGUCAAUGUGUUAAAAACCGGUGUGUUAUUCCCUCUUUACACGUGGCUGAAACAAAAAGAAGUCGAGGAAAUGAAAAAACUAAACACCCCUGGAUUCCCAGAUAAAACUGGUUGAAGCAAUAUAUGUUUUAGCAUCCGAUUGUUUCGCCUAACUUGAUCUUCUCUUUCGCUGAUAGCGGUACAGUUUGACUGUCGAAGUUGCCUCUGCUACUGAUGGAGAAGCACCUGACAGUGAAUUCAAACAUCAAUGAUUUGGUGUCAACCACACCCUUAAGCUGAGCUAGUGUAGGCUGAAGCUACUGUAUAUAUGUUUUGCCUGAGCAGAAAUUCUAAUCUCUAUUCUACACAUGGACCAACGCUAAACACAGUUCCCAUCAGUUAAGACAUAAUGAUUGGGUGCAUGUUUGAAGUAAAAAUAACAUUUUCUGUACAUCUUAACAUAAUCUUAUAUUUCCCUAUUCAGCAUCUGUUUUAAUUUGUUUGUACCUACAGGCGCAUUUGAGUGGGUGUUUGAUAAUGUAAAUGAUGUGCAAUCAGUGUAAGAGUUUCCCUUCAGUCCCACUGAUUUAAGUUUUAAAUUGUGACAUGUAAAUUGCUUUCUUUGUUAACAAACUUUUUUGUAUUUCACAGAAUAAGCUUUCGAUACAGGACACACCCAUAGAUGUGGAGCGGAAUUGGGGCCGUGCAACCUUUUCUCCUCCGAUCCCAUCCAUUCUUCCCUUUUUAGCUUAAUUCCUCCGUCCUCGUAUACACAUUCGUGUGAUUGUAAAUUCACGGCGAUAUCGCUUCCUCGUAUACUCCUUCCUGUGAUGCUUUAAUGGAUACAUCCGUACCAAGACUGUCUACGGGGAAUUUGCCGUCAACUGAAGGUAACGGCUCAAAAUUGCGCAAGUGGGCGAGGUAUUGAGCCCGUUUUGUUGUUUGCCGUUAGGUGUUUUUUUUUUCUUUUUGAAUUUUUUUGCUGGUAUUGAACUACUGGGAAAAUAGAACAGCGGAAUAAUUCAAUUAGGUCGAACUUGUUUAAGCUUCCGAGAUCUUCUUAGACCCGUGACUUUUUUUCUUUCUAAUUUUUUAUCCCAGGGCUGGCGUAAUGUUUCUCUUUUUUAUUGUUCCCGUUUAACAUUUAACUAGAGCAUUCUAUUUUCUUCGCAUUACUUUGCAAUCUUUCAUUCUACGCAGGCAUACCAAACGUCACUCUUCAAUUCGAGAGAUCGGCCUUGCACUUGGCCGCUGCACGUAUCGGUCAUUUUGCAUUUGAAUCAUUAACUAAUCGUUAAAUUAUUACUGGGCUUCUUCGAAUAGAGAAAGAAUAAGUUGUCGUGUGUGUCUUUACAACAUCCGAAAUAAUAAGAACACUUUCAAAAUUGUCUUUAUUUACCGAAGUGUGAAUUUGUCAUGCCUCUAGCCACGCAAUUCAUUUAUUUAUUCUGGCAAAACGAAGAAUGUUGCACCGUAUGCUGAUGGUAAAAUUUCUUAGGGAACGAAGGGAUUUGCAUAUCAGCUUUUCGAUUGAUUAAAGUAAGACAAGCGAAAGCAAU